GGUUUCCUGAAUCAGCCUGGAAUACAAAUAACUUGGCAGUUUAACUCACUGAUUAACAUGGAUGGCUAGAUUGAUAUAUCGAUACGCGUAGCACUAAUGAUCUUUUCUUUUGAAGUAACGUCUGUAAUUUAUAAGGUUAGGGUUAGGGGUUUCACGUCUGUUUUAAGACUCUUAAUCAUACACCAAACAGUCCCAUCAAUAGUAGAUUAUGAGAACUUUAAUCUUUGUUUCUCACAUAAUAAUAUGUCCAUAAUAAUCUCGUUGACAUUACUCCAUUUGUGGAUCCUCCUGUAUCUUUCCUCUUUUGACACAUUCGCACCAUUCCACAUUCACACCAUGCUGCCCAUGCAACAGUAGUGUCUAACGGACCUCAUUCACCAAUCGUAAACAAACAACAUUUAUUCACGUGAUAAAAUUGAUAAAACAGCGAAAAAACUGCCAUGUUGUAUUAAAAUUAGAUCGUAAUUGUAUAGAAGAGAUAGAGAAUCACAUGUCGAAAUGUUGUUUGUCAACGACUGGUGAAUGAGGUCUAUUCGUCCAGAUUAAAUAUUGAACUUUAUAUUUUUCACAUUUUUCUUCAGUGUAGAGGAAGGCGUGACGUAUGUUAAAGAUGUGUACGCUGAGACCAAACAAAUGUCCACUUACUUACUAGCAUUCGUUAUCAGUGACUUUUCAUUUACUCAAGAUAAAACUAAAAAUGGAAUCACAUACAGAGCUUGGUCAAGACCAGAAAUAGUCCGCAGUACAGAGUAUGCGUUGGAGGUUGGUGUGCAAAUUUUGAGCUAUUUCGAAGAAUUCUUCAAUCUGAAGUUUCCACUCCCUAAACAAGAUAUGAUAGCAAUACCAGAUUUAAAUUUUGGCGCUAUGGAAAAUUGGG
rnacentral:sRNA from 1 species